rnacentral:rRNA from 1 species
GACAGAGGGUGCGAACGUUGUUCGGAAUUACUGGGCGUAAAGCGCAUGUAGGCGGCAGCGCAAGUCGGGCGUGAAAUCCCACGGCUCAACCGUGGAAGUGCACUCGAAACUGCGCAGCUAGAGUCCUGGAGAGGAAGGUGGAAUGCUUGGUGUAGAGGUGAAAUUCGUAGAUAUCAAGCGGAACACCGGUGGCGAAGGCGGCCUUACUGGGACAGU